UGGACACCAGCAACCUUGGAGGACCCCAGCUUGCCGCGGGAGACGUGGACCUGAGUAGGGCCAGACGCCGCAGAGGAAGUGAGGUUGGUGGACGGAGUUGGAGUGAGGUUCGUGUCCAGACCGGCAGCACCAUGUCGAAGGUUUCCUUUAAGAUUACACUGACGUCGGACCCGCGGCUGCCGUACAAAGUACUCAGUGUUCCUGAAAGUACACCUUUUACAGCAGUCUUAAAGUUUGCAGCAGAAGAAUUUAAAGUUCCUGCAGCAACAAGUGCAAUUAUUACCAAUGAUGGAAUAGGAAUAAAUCCUGCACAGACUGCUGACAUGUUGCCUGUUGGAUUACCCUAUAAAAUUGAAUUGUGGGCAUCACGAGGUGUGAAGAAAAUCUCAGCAGGCAACGCAGACCCAAAGAAAUGUUUUUCUAAAGCACGGUUCAGAACUGCGAAUAAUUCCUAGAGAUCGUGUUGGAAGUUGUUAAUAUCUGCUGCUUGGAACAUAAAAUCCCCUUCCAGAAUAAAUAUUGUUAUUGUUAUUGUUGUAAAAUUGGAAUCAGGCAUUUGAAAUCCUAUGAAGACACCAAUAGUUGAUGAAGUAAUGAAAGGUGACUGUCUGUCCCUUCUUGUUAUUCACACUCUUCACGUGAAGAGGGGACACUUCUCUAUUGAGGGUGUCAUCACCACAGAAGAUCACGUUACUACCUCACAGCACACACAGGAUCCUACCCAGGACCCCACAUUACAUUUAGUUAUCCUGGGUCCUUAGACACCUCUUGGCUGUGAUCAUUUCAUAGACUUUCCGUGUUUCGGAUGCCCUUGACACUUCUGAGGAGUACUGGUCAGGUGUGCGGUCCUUCGCCCGACAGCCUGUCGAGCCAGGAAGGUCCAAAUUGAUGUUCCUGGGGAGAGAGAUUCUGUUCCGUUUAAAGUGUGAGAAAUGUGAUCGCGGUUAAGGAUUCCUGCGGUGCUUCUCUCAGAGGCACCGUUCUGUCCUGGGGUGGUGAGAUGACCACACAGUGGAUGCCAGCCCGUCCCAGCCUGGCUGUGCAGUCACUGAAGCCAGGGGGACUCCUCGAGCACUCGCUGACUUUGGUCAAAGUGUUUGUGUGUGACGUCAGCUCACCUGUGGUCCUGUGAGCAUCCCCCGCCGGGGCCCUGGGCUGGGAGGCGGGAUCCCGUUCUCCCCUCCUGUGAAGUUGGUGUGGGGCCGGAGUAGCUGAGCGGCUACUUCAGUUGUGCCCCCGGAUGGAGGCGAGCGCCAGUGGGAGGGGAGCCGGUCGUGGACACAGCCAUCUCGACUGCAGAACGAGCCUGUUGGUGGGUUUGUGGGUGUUGGAGCUGGGCUGUCAGGUGUUUUUGGAUUUAGCAGGAACAUUUUCAAAAGUAUCCGAUGUUCUCAAAUAAAAAUCUUUCCUUGUGAGAAAAAAUAAAAUAAAAAAGAUUUGCCUUAAUUCCCAAUCUAAAGCAUCCUCCCAGGAAUAUUUGAGUUACCUAAAAUUUAUAUUGAUGUAAAGAAUUUAGUAAAAUUGCAAGAGAAUAGAUCAGAAUUUUAUCAUUUUCUUUUCAUUUGUAUUUUACACUUUCUCUAACAGUUACACUGAUUUUUUUUUAACAUCUUCAUUGGAGUAUAAUUGCUUUACAAUGGUGUGUUAGUUUCUGCUUUAUAACAAAGUGAAUCACUUAUACAUAUACAUAUGUCCCCAUAUCUCUUCCCUCUUGCAUCUCCCUCCCACCCUCCCUAUCCCACCCCUCUACAUGGUCACAAAGCACCGAGCUGAUCUCUGUGUUAUGCGGCUGCUUCCCACUAGCUAUCUAUUUUACAUUUGGUAGUGUAUAUAUGUCCAUGCCACUCUCUCACUUUGUCCCAGCUUAACGUUCCCCCUCCCCAUAUCCUCAAGUCCAUUCUCUAGUAGGUCUGCAUCUUUAUUGUUUUUCUCUUUCUGACUUACUUCACUCUGUGACAGACUCUAGGUCCAUCCACGUCACUACAAAUAACUCAAUUUCAUUUCUUUUUACGGCUGAGUAAUAUUCCAUUGUAUAUAUGUACCACAUCUUCUUUAUCCAUUCACCUGUUGAUGGACACUUAGGCUGCUUCCAUGUCCUUGCUAUUGUAAAUACAGCUGCAAUGAACAUUUUGGUACAUGACUCUUUUCGAAUUAUGGUUUUCUCAGGGUAUAUGCCCAGUAGUGGGAUUGCUGGGUCAUAUGGUAGUUCUAUUUUUAGUUUUUUACGGAACCUCCAUACUGUUCUCCAUAGUGGCUGCAUCCAUUUCAUUCCCAUCAACAGUGCAAGAGGGUUCCUUUUUCUCCACACCCUCUCCAGCAUUUACUGUUUGUAGAUUUUUGAUGAUGGCCAUUCUGACUGGUGUGAGGUGAUAACUCAUUGUAGUUUUGAUUUGCAUUUCUCAAAUGAUUAAUGAUGUUGAGCAUCCUUUCAUGGGUUUGUUGGUAAUCUGUAUAUCUUCUUCGGAGAAAUGUCUAUUUAGGUCUUCUGCCCAUCUUUGGAUUGGGUUGUUUGUUUUUUUGAUAUUGAGCUGCAUGAGCUUCUAGUAAACUUUGAAGAUUAAAAUGUAAAAAUGUAAAACCCUUUGUCAGUUGCUUCAUUUGCAAAUAUUUUCUCCCAUUCUGAGGGUUGUCUUUUCAUCUUGUUUAUGGUUUCCUUUGCCAUGCAGAAACUUUUAAGUUUCAUUAGGUCCCAUUUGUUUAUUUUUUAUUUUAUUUCCAUUUCUCUAGGAGGUGAGUCAAAAAAGAUCUUGCUGUGAUUUAUGUCAUAGAAUGCUCUGCCUAUGUUUUCCUAUAAGAGCUUGAUGGUAUCUGGCCUUACAUUUACGGCUUUAAUCCAUUUUGAGUUUAUUUUUCUGUAUGGUGUUAGGGAGUGUUCUAAUUUCAUUCUUUUACAUGUAGCUGUCCAGUUUUCCCAGCACCACUUACUGAAGAGGCUGUCUUUUCUCCACAGUAUAUUCUUGCCUCCUUUAUAAAAGAUAAGAUGACCAUAUGUGUGUGGGUUUAUCUCUGGGCUUUCUAUCCUGUUCCAUUGAUCUAUAUUUCUCUUUCUGUGCCAGUACCAUACUGUCUGGAUUACUGUAGCUUUGUAGUAUAGUCUGAAGUCCGGGAGCCUGAUUCCUCCAGCUCUGUUUUUCUUUCUCAAGAUUGCUUUGGCUAUUCGGAGUCUUUUGUGUUUCCAUAAAACACAGUUGUUCCAAAAAGAACGACUAACCACUAUUCAAGAAAAAGAUACCACUGAAAGAGUCCUAGAACCCUCAGUGGCGAGGUGGAAGCACCUCCCUGCACCACGGAGACCAAGACAGACUACACUCUGAGGGCAGAAGGGUAAGAGAAUUGGCUCCACAUUGACCACAUUACCCGUCCCCCAGCCAGCUCAGCACCUAGCAGAGGGGUCUCCCCUGAGCCUCUAGUUCCUCCAGUGGGAGAAGAGAGCCCAGGGGGGACACCCAGCCUCCCCCCAGUAUUGUGGGUCACUUUGUGGGAGCCUCUACUGUGAUCUUGCCCCACAGGGAUUGCAGGGGAACCUGCAGAGCACAGGAAACAAUUACUGACAUCUCUAACUAGGGAAUAUGUUUUAAGAUUGGCCUUUUGUUUCCCCAUUUUAUUCUAGAAACUGUGUGGCUCAGAAUAGUGAGGAAAGACAGUAGUGCUUCCUCUCAUUAGAGACAAAUGGAUGACUUUAAAUUGUCAAAGAGAAACGAUUUUUAAGGAAAUAUAAACAAACAUCACAAUUUUUGUCUCUGUAUAAGAAACUCUCACCCAGAGAUAUAUAUGUUAAGAACUGGACAAAUAUUUUGAAAUAUUUUACUGAGCCAGUGAAACUGUGAAACAUUCUCCACAUAAGACGUAUACAAUAUUUAUUUCACAGGAAUGUCUAUGUGAUAAAAGAUGUGAAGUAUUGUUGUCUAGGUAUUAGAGUUAGUCUGCUAUUCUUCCAAUGAAUGAGUAAUAUCCCUCAAAGGAAUUAACUAAACUUUAACUAACUUUAAAGUUUUUCCAUCCUAGAAAAUUUAAUUUCUAGCUAUAUUGCAAUAAGUAACAUACAAUAGCAAUAGUAAUAGUGUUCCAAUUACAAAUUCUGUACAAUAUAUUACCCCCAAAACUUAGUAGCAUAAAAUAAAACUAUUUUAUUAUAUCUCAUUGGUUCUCUGGAGCAAGAAUUUGGACAGAACUAGGCUGGGUGAUUUUUGGAUCCUUGCACUGUUGACUGAGGUCACUUAUUGGUGCUUCAAUGAUGAUGGAUAGGUUUGUUUGGAGAGUGCAAUACAACUCCACUUGCUUUUCUGGGGGUGGAUGGAAGACUGAGUUCAGUUAGGACUGUCAACCAGAGUGCCUAUGGUCUCUCCACCAUGGCAGUUUCAGGGUACUUGGAUUUCUUACAUGACAGCUAGAUUUCUUCACAGCUACCAUCUCAGGACAACCAAGCAGAGCUGCAUCACUUCCACCACAUUUUCUUGGAUAAAAUUGAGCCAUUGGGUCAGGUCAGGUUUCAGUGGCAGAGGAAUUAAUCUCCAUGUCUUAAUAGGGAGCAACAAGCUGGUAUUGUGGAAGCACUUAGAGAGCGGGAGAUGGUAUGGCCAUUUUUAGAACGCACUCUGAAAGAUGCAAUUUGGAAACUUUUUAUUACCUAAGUUUACUUAAGUAAUAAGUGGCACAUCUGGGACUUUAACCUAAGCCAAGCAUGACUCCAAAGACUUUUCCAUAGGAAUUUUUAAAUGGAUCUGAGAGAAAUAGACAGAGAGGCAUAGAAACAGAGACAGAGAAAAGGAGAGAGAAUACUGUUUUGAAAACUCAUUUCAGAUUACAAAUUAAAUUUUGAAAUUACCAAAUAGUUUGCCAUUUACCUCUUAUUUAAAGGUAUUUAUCCUACCAAUGUAUCAUUUGAAUCAAAGAUCCAUUAAGGUGAGAUUUAUUCAUCUCUUUUACCUUUUAUUCUUUUUUGUAGCAUAGUGCCUGAUGUAAAGGAAGUAAUCAAUAAAGAUUUGAUGAAUAAAUGAAUGAACGUCGUGUAUAAAUGCUGGCAAAGGGAAGUUAAUUUGUAUUUGAAAAAAAUAAAAGCAUAGUCUUAAGUAUUUUCUAAGAAACACAACAUCUUAUCUUUCCUUUGUAUUGCAUAUUAGAGCUAUUACCUAUGAAAUUAUAUUCCUAGGUUCUAGAUUUAAAGGGCUUAAAUAUAUACAUUCCCUUCCCCCUUCUUAACAAUAACUUCACGUUAAAAAUUAUUUAUAUAGAACUAUUUUUUAAAAAUAGUUUGUGUAUAACAGUAUGUUGGUUAUUCCACAUAUAACAUUAACUUAAAUAAAAUGUUUAUAGUAUAUUAAAAUGCUGCAAUUAAAAGUAAAAGCAAAUAGCUUACUAUACCUAUUUAUUUAAAACUUGAGAAAUUACAUGAUUUCUGACUUUGACUUGCUAUUUAAGUUAAGUAUUUUAAGGUGUAUUUAAUUAAAAUGUAUAUAAAUAUAUGUCAUAUGUGGAAAUGUGUUUAUCCAACUGUUAUAAUUUUUUUAAGUAACAGUUAAUUUUACUCCACACUCAUAAACCUUCUCCCUCUUAAAACAUGGGAAAUGGAUAAAUAGUAUUUGUUUCUAAAUUCUGUCAGAAUUUCACAAGGCAAUAGAGAGGAUUUUUCCAUUGCUUAGGAAGGAAGCACUUGGUAUAAUUUGUUUGCUCAGAGGAAAUGUUUCCAUAUGAGAAAACACAAUGUUACCAUGGUGAUACAUCAAAAAAAGCAUUUAAUAAAUUCAGGAUGACAUAAAACCUAUUCUGCUUUAAAAAAUAGUCCAGAUUUUUUAAAUAUAUGAAAUAUAUGGAGAAAUUUAUUUUUGAAAACUGUUUAUAAAGAAACUGUUUAAUAAAUAAAAGUCAAUAUUAGAUUUGAUCAUAUUUCAAGCUUAUAAAAAGAAAACAUUGGAUUUCGAGUCAGUCUCUUUAUUUCCUUUUACUACAUUUCUUAACACUGGAAAAUAUCUAAUAUUUUGUGGGUAGUGUGAAAGGAUCACAUUUUAUGGGUCUGUGCAGAAAUAUCAGAGAAUAUAUAAAUACACUAUAAAAUCCAUCCAGUCCAGGAAUUGGUGGAUUUCCUUUUACUGUCUUUAUCUAAAAUGAGCAUUAUUCUGUUGACUACAUUAUUUUCCUAAGCCCUUAGCUGGCGGGAUGAAAGGUAGCUAUUCAACAUGUGAGUAAGCCAGUAGAAAACGGCAUUUAUUACCCAUCAGAACCAGAAUUUGAUUAUUGCUAACAUUUUUUUAAUAUAGCACUUACCUAGGGAGAUAAAGGGAAGAGAGAGAGAAAAAGACAAUAAAUACAAAAGCAAAAAUAUGUGCUACACUUUGACUUCUCUGUGAGUGGAAUGAACGAGUCUAUAAUAAAAAUCACUUUCUUAGCCUCUUGGACCUGUACGCCCCAUUUGGUUUUCCCAGAUCAGUCUUUGUAGUCUCAGAGCCUCAUGGACCAUGCCAGCUCUCACAGGUUCAAUGGCUUGUCUGGGUUUUAGCGACCCUGGCUCCCUAAAACCAGGCAAGAAUUACUUAAUCAAUUGAAAUUGGCUUUGAACAAUUAUUUCAUGAAUCCUUAUUAAAGAUAGAAAUUUUCUGUGAAAAUAGCUUAUUUAAAAGAAUAUAUUAGUGUACAUAGGAAUUCAUCGUACAUGGCAGGUGAUGUUAGAUGCUUAUUGAAUAAAAGAACAAUCACAUACAGAUAAAUGAUUUAGAAUUCAGCUAAGAGAAGAAAAGGUAGCAGUUUGGGAUGAUAAAAUAGUUGAACACAAUCAGAACCUGAAACCAAGAUGUAACUGCAGUUAGUUUAUUUGUGUGGUGACGCCCUGAAGCAGCAGCAGGAAGUGGAGAAGGACGAUGAAGCAUUGAGCUCAAAGUAUUUACCUUUUAUACCAAAACCUCCAGUACUUUGUAAACAUAAGCACAUGAAGUCAUCUAAUACCUUUGUGAUUCGUAAUACUUAGAUUCAUAAGCUGCAAUGUUCUCAGUUCCAUUAUUCUUAGGAAAGCCAGAAAUACUAGAAAUUUUUGGUUCUUUAAACACAGGAGAAUUUAAAAUUCCAGUGAGAGAACUGAGGCCAUAUGAUCAACCUUUACAGAAACUAUAGAGGCCACAACAUAUGGCACAAAUAAAACUCUCACAUGACAACUCCUAGCGGGUGCAAUUCUAAUUUCUCAGCAUCCUCCAGUGGCAAAUAGAGUCACAGAGGUAUUUUUCCAACAGUGUAAACCACUACCUGCUCACUUUCCAUCAAAACAUGUAUUUUGUUAUUUUCCUUAGAAGGGAAAACUCAGAAGAAUCUUGGAAUUAUUUCCUUCUCUGACCAAAGUGAUACUGUCAUGAUUAUGUCUAUAUCGUUAAUAUUUUCAUGGGGCAUCUAUUUGCAGAGAGGUUUCAAAUAUAAUAUUUCAUGUAAAUCAGAUAGGUCCAAAGGUAUUAUUUUUGUUUACAUUUUGGGAGUAGGAAAACCAGUAGCCCUAGAGGUUGAGUGACUUAGCUGAUACCACAUGGAAUAAGGAAGAGUCCAAAGAUUCCAUAUCCCAGUACCACUUGACCUCACUAACGUGGAUGGACUGGAUAACACCCCAGACUCUAGGGAAGAUGCUUGUCCAUUGUUAAUUCUGUAUCAUCAAAGAACCUUUGUAUAGGCUGAAAAGAAUAAACACUUUCAGAGGAAAGUGAAUAUCCCUAGGACCACAUUCAUAUCUCCAAUGAAAAUGCAGGGCUUAUUUCAUUUCUUUGUGUUGAAUCAAAUUAAAUUCUUGCAUGAAAGAAUUUAUCAAAAUAGUCAUUAGGUAGAAAGUUUUAAAAGCAUAAAUCCUGUGCAAAUGAUUGGGUCUUAAUGGAGCAAGUGAAGUCAUUUGUUUUCUUUGCUAAAGCUAACAUCUGGUAAAUUUAUAGCUCACUGUAUUGUAGUUUAAUGGCAAUAACAAAAAUACUGUUAUCACACCGGUGGUUGACCAAUGCAAGGAGAAAAUGUUAUCAUCCAGAAAAUAAUCCCCUAAGAAAAUGUUUUUCUAACUGAUUAGCAAAGCUGGCACAUGGGGACCCUAUAUAAUGAGGCAAAUUUGUUUCUUAGCAACAGGAGAAUAAAACAGAUUGAAAUAUGAUGAGUUUGACAAUGACAAUGAAUGGGGGAAAAUCAGUGUAACUUGAAAAAAAUCAGCAGGAGAGAAGUUGAUAUUGUAUAGAUGAAAGCUGCAGAAUGCUUUUAGUUUUAAAAGACUUUGAGCAUAAAUCCAGCUUGUAUAGGAGUAUGAUAUUUGUGGCAAAACAAACAUCUGAAGAAAGAAAAUUUGUUUUAUAGAAGGAAAUGUUCCACUGUCUUUCAUUAUAUUGGAAACUCUUACAAUCUAACAACCAAUAUAUUAAGGAAUGAGAGUAAAGGAAUAAAUCAUACUUGUAUGCUUUUUAAAUGCUAUGCUGGUGAACUCCUCAAAAAAGGAAACACAUUUUACAGAUUAACAGGAAUUUUAUUACACUAGGACGGAAUUUUCACUAAAGAUCAUGAUCUAUCAAAAAUGUUAAUGCAUUUUCUCAAAACUGAUUUAAAGUUUCAGUAGAAUGGGGAAAUUUUAAUACACAAUAUAAAUAUCUAAUUCAAUUCAAUGAAUACUUUUGAUUAAUAAUAAUAAUUUACUGGGUGCUUACUAUGAACCAAGCUCUCCUUCCUAAUCAAUUUAUAUACAUUAGUUUAUUUGAUCUUUACAACACCAGUAAAAGAGACCCUUAUUUUUCACAUUCCACAAAGGAAAUCAGACACCUAAAAAACUUUGUGGUAGGCAGAAUUCUAACACGACCCCUAAGAAUCCUACCCUGUUAUGUGCACACUCCCUACCUCCCCUGGUGUAUGUAACUUCCCUUCCCUUAAAAAUAGGCAGAACAGUGAACACAACUGUUAAGUCACUUCUGUGAUUAGGUUACCAAUUCGUUCAUUUUGUGUUAAUCAAAAGCAGUGUUAUAUGGGUGUACUGAUCUAGUCAGGGGAAUGCUUAAAAGUGACCACUUCUUGAAGGUAGAGAGAUUGCAAGUGUGAAAGAGGGCCAUGUUAUGAGGACCUGAGGGAUGCCUCUAGGAAAUGAGAGCAAUCCCUGCUGGCAGCUGGCAGGGUGACAGGGACCUCAGUCACACAGCUGCAAGGGGGGGAAUUCUGCCCAUGACCAGUGAGCUUGGACAAGGGCCUAGAGCUUUAGCAGGGAGUCUUAGCCCUGGAAGUCACCUUGAUUUCACUCUGUGAGCCCUUAAGAAGAGGACCAGUACCCAGGAAAAUGACAUUCAGAAAUUUCAAGAUGAUUAAUGGGUGUUGUUUCAAGCCAUUAAAUUUGUGAUAAUUUGUCAUGGGGCAAUAGAAGAAGAAUACAGUACAUAAAGUUCUAUCGUCAUAAAGUGAGUGAGAUGGAAACACAGGGCAGUCUGGUGAUGGUCUUGCUUUCAAACAUCUUCAUAUCAAUCCCAUAUAAAUUAGGGUUUUUUGUUUGUAACUUACAGAAAUUGACUUCGGCUAACUGAAAUGGAAAUAAAAGGAUUUCAUUUCAUAUGAAAUACUGAAUAUCUCACACAAUUUUUUUUAAAAAAGGAAAGUAAAACAAACAGCCUCAGGAAGAACAAGACAGAAGGCAGUUCCGGAAUCCCUGCUUGAAGAUCUGCAGUCUUUGGGAGAAGCUGCUGUUGGGAGAUGGCUGUUUCCACUGCUUCGGUCAUGAAGCUUAAGAUUGAGACUCCCUGGAAAGACAGGCUGACCGCCACACCUCGGUCACAGCCUCACACCUGCAGACAGAGGGGCUGGAAGUGUGAUCGACAAUCUUCUAGGAUCACGAGAAGCAGGAGGAAAGGAAGUAAUCCUGGACUGCUUUUCAUUUCUAUUUGGGAAGAGUUGGGAGAUAUUAGGGUUCUCCAGAGAGAUAGCACCAGUAGGGUGUAUAUAUAGAGAUUUCUUUUAAAGAAUCAGUUCUACAAUUAGGGGGAACUGACAACUCCAAAAUCUGUAGAGCAGGCUGACAGGCUGGAAAUCCUGGCAAGAGUUAAUGCAAGUCUUAAGUCCAAAAGCAGCCUGGAAGGCAGAAUUCUUUCCUCUUUUGGGGACUCUCAGUCUUUUCUCUUAAGGCCUUCAAUUACCUAGAUGAGGCCCACACACAUUAUGGAGGGUAAUCUGCUUAGCUCAAAGUCUACUGAUUUAAAUGUUACUCACCUCCGAAAAAUACCUAGACUGGUGUUUGGCCAAACAACUAGGAACUGUAGCCUAGCCAAGUUGACACAUAAAAUUAACCAUCACAGGGGGUCUUGUAAAAGUUGGGGGGGAGGGGCUUCCUAUGCUUCCACAUGGGACUUACUAUAUGACAACCCUUUAUUCUGGUCCAGGGAACCAAUGAAAGGAUUCUGAAAGUUAGAGAGGAUGUCUUUCUGUAAGGAAUGUCACAAUAUUAUCAGAGUUUGCAUGGAAAGUUAUAUGAACACCAUAAAUAUUUAGCUUUUGCAAAUUUACAUUAAUAGGAAAAAUAAACUACUUAAUUGAAUUUUCAAACUGAAGGUGAAAAAAUAUCGCUAUCAUGAUGAAACAUUUAUCUGAAAAUUCCUUUCACCUUAUGUCCAAUUUACUACUCAUACUAAUUGAGUAAGCAUCAUGCAUGAAGAAGCAUUAUAGUAGAUUUAAUAGGAUUUGAUCAAAACAUCCUCGGGGUGCUUCCCUGGUGGCACAGUGGUUGAGAAUCAGACUGCCAGUGCAGGCGACACGGCUUCGAGCCCUGGUCCGGGAAGAUCCCACAUGCCACGGAGCAACUGGGCCCGUGAGCCACAACUACUGAGCCUGCGCGUCUGGAGCCUGUGCUCCGCAACGGGAGAGGCCACAACAGUGAGAGGCCCGCGUACCGCCAAAAACAAAAACAAAAAAUCAGUAACAGAUUUUCAACUGAGAUUCUCAAGAAUAAAAGAAAGAUGAGUCUGUCUGUAAACUUACUCUUCCCAAGCUUCGGUGAGUGUUUUUGUAUCUGAGCUGCUGUUACCAAGGUUAGGAUAAUCAAUAGCUAAACCACCCAGCCCUCAACCUUCCAUGUUGCAUCAUGGUUCCAACAGUUCUCCAGGUAGGAAGCAACUGUGCUGAAGCAGAGGUUUUAUUGUUUGUUUAUGUUUGUUUUCAAAUUACAGCUUGAGACUUCAGCAGAUAUUUUCAGAAGCUACUCUAUUUAGUUCCAAAGCCAAAGGCACCAUGAUUUAUUUGCUUGAUGAGUUCUGAAUUUCUAUUGAGUGGGCUGUUUCCAAGCAGGUGAAUGGAGGAUAGAACCUUCGUCUUUUUCAUAGCAAAGGAAAUUUAGGACAAAAAUCUGCCUGCAAUGCGUGCUAUUCUCUCAACUAGAGGAAAUCUCUACUCUUAAUUAAUGUCACUAAUAAAUACAUAUUUAUUUGA